GUAUAACCUAUACUAAUUUGGUAUUUCUCAGUUUUUGAUUGCAUCCACUUUCCUUUCAAUUUUACAGAGUGUGUAUGUGGUUACAAGUUUAUACAAAAAAUAUCAAUGAAUCAAGUUACUAUUUGUAGCCGAAAAGAAAGAGGAGAAAGCUGAAUGACUCAAUUAUAAAGUUUAUGUUAUAUUAAUAAUGAAAAGUGACAUACCUUUGGUGAUUUCUUAAAAGUGUUGUAUAAUAGACUGCUACAGAAGAUUUCCAUCAAUGUCAAAGACAGAUAAUUGUUUUUUUAAGUGGUAACAGUUCAAAUGGUGUAUACCUUGUUGCAGAUUAUCAAAAUAUUCAUCUUGUUCUAGAAAGUUAUUGCUUCUUUAUAAUUUUACCUUAAUUUUUGGAGGGAAUGAAGGGCACUAUAGAUCCACUCCAAAAAACUUUGUUUUAUGAAAUACAUUUUUGCAAAUAUGUUUUAAGAAACAACAAACCUUGAAUUUUGAAGUAUGUAUCUAUGAAACACUAGUUAUAUAAGAAAUGGCAGAAACCCUUUGAUUUCUAGCAAAACUUUUACAGGUAAUUGUAUGUCUAAUAUGAAGUGGCAUGCUAACAUUUCUAAAAACAAAGGGUAUAGUAUUUUCUUUCUUUUGGCAUUUAUUAUGACCCUGAUCAUCAUUUAUGAGUUUCUCAUUUUGGCUAGAUAAUAUCAUAAAUCUCUUCUUUUUGCUGAAUAUUUGUUUUCUUGUAGCUUUGCACUUCAAUGCCCUGUAAUAGACGUUAUUUUGUCACCUUCUAUACCUUUUUGAAACAUGCAAGUUACUGUCAGUGGCAGUCUUUGUAUAGGAGGGGAGAUUUUGAUGAGGAAGUAACUGAUCACAAAAAGAAUACAAAUAAGUCACAAGCAGAAUUUGAAGAAAUGAAUUGCACGAUGGAGGCAUUAGGACAGUCAGGACUAGCUGCUGAUGAUGAUAAAAAAAAUUAAUCAGAACAAGAAGAAGAUAUUAAACAAUGAUGUUAAAUCUAGCUCUCCUCAUUUUUUAGUAAUUAUAAUCACAAAACAGUUAUGAUUUAAAGCAGCUAAAUGACUGCUGUAGGUCCUCAUUGAGGUGUAUACUACUGCUACUACUGAAGCAGCACCUUAGACGGGUCUAUGCACUCAGUGAUAAGAGUAUACUCCAACUGACAGUAACAAGAUGGGAGAGAAGGCAGUCUCUCAGAGGCAAGGGAUUCUGUAUGAGCCUUAGUCAGUUGUCAAUGCUGACAAGAAAUGAGAGAAAAGACUCAACUGGAUGAUACUCCAUGCCUGAUUCUACAUCCCUACCCCCACCAAUAGUCGUCCCUCCUCCAAAUCAAAAUAAAAUCAACUUACCAACUCACCCCCCUGGACAGUUAGAUCGAGUCCUCAUACUGGCCUUACCAGUUAGCAAUGUAAACUUAUAUGCAUGGAACUUAAGCAAAGUCUAACGCUUCAUUGUAAAAUACACUGGCAUACAAAUGGAAUUAUGCUCAAAUUGUAGCAAGAAGAAGGUUGUUAUAUUUCUGCCAUCUGAUCUCAUAGAGGACUGUAUGACUUUCUUACUCCAUGACAUGCAGGCAACAGGCAUGCAGCCUCAACCAUCAGAGUCCAAUGAUCCAAUUAAACGUAUUCAUGUCUUCCCUCACCAGUGUGAAAGGACUGACUCUGGCUCACCUCAGCAGCAGCAGCAGAAGCAAUAGUCUUUAAUACUGGAUUCCCUUAAUAGUCACCCAGCUCCCAAUACACCGUUGCUCACUAAAUCACAUAAAAAAGAUCCUGUGGCAGUUUCGCGCAACCCUGCCCUACCUCCUUGUAAUGAGCUUUGCCAAAACUACAAACAUUAGAUGGAUGGAGGACAGAAUUUUUUCUCAAGCUCCUCAGAUCAUAGUAACAGAGUGCAAUCCAGUGUACAUAUCAAUGGAAUCCAGGACCCAAACAUCCAGAGAAUGCUGGGUUCAGGAGACAACCAAUGCUACUUCCCAGAUUGUCUAAUAUGUUGCAAGAUUUUAAUCCUCCUCCUCCUCAUUCUUUUUCUCCUCCUGCCUACACUCUUCCUACUUCAACUUCUCAAUCUUACCCUUCUCUUUCUCUCACUCCUAAUGCUCCUUCUUGGUUCACUUGUGUCCCAGUUCUUUCUUCGGUAGUCUAUGGUGUUGUUGAUUGAAAGAUUUUCGAGGUCAUAAAGAAGCCUGUCAUUAUUUUUUAUGUGUUCUAAUCCUUAAUCACAGGAACCUUUGCAUUGAUAUCAUUGGAAAUGACUUUUCCUCACAGUAACAGUUGUGUAUAAUAACAAAUAAUUUUAGUUUUUUCAAUGGAUUCAUUGUAAGAGCUAUAAUGAUUAAUCUUUUUAAAGUGUAAUGCAUAUUUCACAUUAUUUAAGUUCA